UACGUAGGGCGCAAGCGUUGUCCGGAAUUAUUGGGCGUAAAGAGCUCGUAGGCGGUUUGUCGCGUCUGCUGUGAAAACGCAAGGCUUAACCUUGCGCCUGCAGUGGGUACGGGCAGACUAGAGUGCGGUAGGGGAGACUGGAAUUCCUGGUGUAGCGGUGGAAUGCGCAGAUAUCAGGAGGAACACGGGUGGCGAAGGCGGGUCUCUGGGCCGUUACUGACGCUGAGGAGCGAAAGCAUGGGGAGCGAAC
rnacentral:rRNA from 1 species